CGUGUCUCGAGAGGCUGUUCGCUUGCAUCACAUUCACAAGAGAGAGGAAUGUUGGGUAAUCGUGUGAGAAAAGUUGAAAGAUCUAAUCAUAGAGACCCAAAUAGGCUAAUUGGCAAGCGGCUGAACAACGCAGCUCCAUCGUCUAGCUACCAUCGGGCAGCCCAGCUCCUUCGCGUCACUUCCCCCACGGCGCCUCUGUUUUUCCUGGGGUAAGCCUCUGCCGCACGCGUCUUCUUCUUCUCUGUAGCGCAGGUGUAUAUACGUUUGAGGGUAAUAAACUUGAUGAAUCAAUCUAAUCAGUAUCUACUCAGAGAAUAACUUGCAGGGCAGUAUUCGGGAAUAAGUGCCCAUAUGAAAAGGAAUUCAUUCAUAAAUUUGCUGCAUGAUAUUAUUAAAGUCGCUGGAGGUUUCGACUUACCUGAUUUGUUCCCUUCACUCAAGUUCCUUGGUUUCCUCACUGGGACAAGGCCCAAGUUGUUGAAGAUACAGAGGAGAAUAGACAACAUUCUCGAAAAUAUACUUAAUGAGCAUAAGAUCAAAAGAAGCACCACUUCAGCGGCUAGCAGCAAAGAUGAGUCAUAAGGCCAUGUUCAUCAUGAUGAUAUAUACUCAAUAAGCUUUUGAACCUUCAGGCGGCGGCCGAGCUUGAAUUCAAUAUAACAAGGAAAUUAAUCAUUUUUAGAGAGAACCCAUUGAAAGUGUUCUUAGGUGCAUUCUUUCUUGGGGAUUGACUUAACUAUCAAACACUCACUUGUCAUUUCUCAGCUUGUAGCAUUCAACAUGCAGAUCUUCAAAGAAUUCCAACACAAGUUAUCGAGCUGGCUGGCUGGCUACAUUUCAUAACUGGGAAAAGGUUUCAAUUAAUUUCUUCCUUCGUGUUUGUUCAAUCAAUAUCUUGCUCUUUCCGUGAGGCUUAAGGUAAGGGCUUGAUUUUCAUUUCUGUGUGUUGGUCACAACAGUGCGAAGGAUGCCUGUUCUAUUGAUUAUCAAACAAUAUUAAUACGUUUGUGCAAUUUUUGCAAUUUUUGCUUGCCAAAUGCCAUUUUCCCACAACAUUGUAACAAAGGCAGCGCCUCUGCAUUAUUCUUUUACAACCCCUACCAAAAAAGAAAAGCUUCUCAAAAUCAAACGUUGAAUGUCACACUCUCCUCAUAUGGAGACGAACUCCAUGUUCUGGUUCGAUAAGCAAUCUGACAACAGGGGAGUGUCGGUAUGCUGAUGAUAGCGAGAAGCAAAACUUGGACGGAAUGAGACAUAACAUUACCUUCAGCUCUGUCAUGGCUAAGUGUUGGCCAACACAGACUCGAGCCCCGAAUCCAAAUGGGAUAAAUGCCUGUGGAAUCUUGCAGGCCCCACUAAUUCCGUGGGAAAAUCUUUCUGGAUUGAACUCGCGGGCAUCAGGCCUCCAUAGAUCUGGGUGUUGCUGCAACAUUGCAACAGGAAUCCAGAUGUAUAUACCUUCUGGAAUCAGUAUGUCUUUGAAUUUAAUGUCUUGCCCUGCUGCUCUUGUGACUGCUGGUACUGGUGGGUAAAGGUGCAAUGUCUCUUGAAUUACCAUUGCCAACUGCAAAUAAUCAGAAAGAUUAGAAUACACUUCCAUCAUUUUGGUCUAUAUGGGAUGAGAAAAUUCAUGUUUUGUUAAAUCUUUUUCAUGCUUUGAGGCAGAUCAGGAUGGCGUAAGAACAAAAUCUGCACAACAGUAAGAGAACAUUUUGACCAGCAGAUAAUAGUUUGUAGCUCUUAAUUUGCUAGCAGCCAUAUGCCAUUCCUUCUGCUCUGUAAAAACACUUUUAUGGACAUAAUGAAUUUAUAAUGGUACAUAUUGUUUUCAUGUUUCGGAUCGUAUCAGCAUCUGGAAGGCCGCCUUUACACAUUUCAAGCACCUCAGCACGAGCACAAGCACGAGCUUGCCAUUCGGGAUAUGCAGCUAAUAACAUCAAGCUCCAUGAUGCUGUGAUGGCAACGGUCUCAUAGCCGCCAAGAUAUAUAGUUUUGCAAUUAUCCACGAUGAACUUGUCAGGAGAGAGAUCCAACAAAUCACUAGCCUUUUUGGCUCCUUCAAGUAUCAUUUGCAGAAGAUCCUUCUCGAAAACUUCAAUGCAAUGGUACCUAAACUUGGGGAUUCCGAGAGUUGUCUUCGACAUGAUUUUUUGGAGAGUUCUGAACUUCAAGUUGAAUU